rnacentral:rRNA from 1 species
UACAGAGGGGGCAAGCGUUGUUCGGAAUUACUGGGCGUAAAGGGCGCGUAGGCGGCCACCUAAGUCAGACGUGAAAUCCCUCGGCUCAACCGGGGAACUGCGUCUGAUACUGGGUGGCUUGAAUUCGGGAGAGGAAUGCGGAAUUCCAGGUGUAGCGGUGAAAUGCGUAGAUAUCUGGAGGAACACCGGUGGCGAAGGCGGCAUCCUGGACCGACACUGACGCUGAGGCGCGAAAGCUAGGGUAGCAAACGGG